UAGCUAAAUAGAUGCAGAGAUCCAACUCAGUGAAGAUAAGGUCAAGGAGUUUGGAGGCCAGGGUACUGGAUAAAUCAGGUGCAUAAAUGUGGAAGUCAUUCAGAAUCACUGGGCAGAGAAGAGUGUGCGCCAGGUGUCAGUUGCAAUGAAUGACAAGGUGACACUGGAGCAAAGAGGACAGGAAGCCUAGUGAGAUGGAGAGUGCUAUAAUCAGGUGGAAUGAGCUGCCACAAAGUUUUGUUUUGUUUUUGAAGACGAUGGCAAAUUAAUGGCAUGGAAGGAGCACUAGGGAUCUAGGAAGAUGCUGACUCCAAAAUUGGAUUCUGGGAUAGGUGAAGUGUGGGAGAGUCACCUCUUCUCAACAGUAUAAGGGAGAAUCUGAGUUUCAAGAUUAACUGGCACGAAAGUAAGGUUCUCGCCCCCUCAUAGUUGGCACUCGGCGAAUAUUAGCCGUCUCUCAACAUUCAGGUAAACACGUAUAUGCCUUUGCUCUGCGCCUUCCUCGCCCCAAUCUCUAUGCAAAAGACUAGGGCUAGGCAAAGGGGUGGGCUCCGGUGGUUGGAGGCAGCGUAGCUCUUCCUUCACUCGGUCAACUGAGAACGUGUUAGCAAGGCUUUCCGUAACUUCACUGGCGCACAAGACGUAGAACCCCGUAAGGGAGAUUUUAUUCCUUUCACCAAAAAACAUUCAUCGAGCGCCUAACAUGUGUGAGACACCGGCGACACAAACACGAGCGAGAUAUAUUCCCGACUACCGGGAGGUCGUUCGGUCGCAUUCGGUGUCAAGGCCAACACGGGUAGGUUUCACACCGUUUAGACUUUUCCAAGUUCUCCCCACACUUUUAGCUGAGGUAAAAUGUCGGAAGUCGCUGUGCACCAGAACUGAGAUCCCUCCAGAAUUUGGCCUCGCUGUCUGGCGUUCCCAGCUCGCUCUAGCGAACCUGGGUGCGCCCUCCGGGAAAGCUGACGUCCACGUGGGCUCCCCAGCCGCCCGCGGGGCGGGGCGUAAUGGGC
ensembl:lncRNA